CAAGGAAUUUUCGGCAAUGGGCGAAAGCCUGACCGAGCAACGCCGCGUGCAGGAUGACGGCCUUCGGGUUGUAAACUGCUUUUCGGGGGGACGAUGAUGACGGUACCCCCGGAAUAAGCCCCGGCUAACUCUGUGCCAGCAGCCGCGGUAAGACAGAGGGGGCCAGCGUUGUCCGGAGUUACUGGGCGUAAAGCGCACGCAGGCGGUGGCUUAAGUGUCGUGUGAAAGCUCCCGGCUCAACCGGGAGAGGCCAUGGCAGACUGGGCUACUGGAGCGCCGGAGAGGUCUCUCGAAUUGCUGGUGUAGUGGUGAAAUGCGUAGAGAUCAGCAGGAAGACCAAGGGGGAAGCCAGGAGACUGGCCGGCAGCUGACGCUGAGGUGCGACGGCGUGGGGAGCAAACCGG
rnacentral:rRNA from 1 species